GACGAACGCUGGCGGCGUGCUUAACACAUGCAAGUCGAACGGAAAGGCCCUGCUUUUGUGGGGUGCUCGAGUGGCGAACGGGUGAGUAACACGUGAGUAACCUGCCCUUGACUUUGGGAUAACUUCAGGAAACUGGGGCUAAUACCGGAUAGGAGCUCCUGCUGCAUGGUGGGGGUUGGAAAGUUUCGGCGGUUGGGGAUGGACUCGCGGCUUAUCAGCUUGUUGGUGGGGUAGUGGCUUACCAAGGCUUUGACGGGUAGCCGGCCUGGGAGGGUGACCGGCGACAUUGGGACUGCGGUACGGCCCAGACUCCUACGGGAGGCAACGGUGGGGAGUAUUACACAGUGGGCGGAAGCCUGAUGCAGCAACGCCGCGUGCGGAAUGACCGCCUUCGGGUUGUGAACCGCUUUCGCCUGUGACGAAGCGUGAGUGACGGCAAUGGGUAAAGAAGCACCGGCUAACUACGUG
rnacentral:rRNA from 1 species